rnacentral:rRNA from 1 species
UACGUAGGGUGCUAGCGUUGUUCGGAAUCAUUGGGCGUAAAGCGCGUGUAGGUGGUCAUCUAAGUCGAGUGUGAAAUCCCUGGGCUCAACCUAGGAAGUGCAUCCGAAACUAGUUGACUAGAAGAGAGUAGAGGAAGGUGGAAUUCCAAGUGUAGAGGUGAAAUUCGUAGAUAUUUGGAGGAAUACCGGCGGCGAAGGCGGCCUUCUGGGCUUUUCUUGACACUGAGACGCGAAAGCGUGGGUAGCAAACAGG